rnacentral:rRNA from 1 species
GGGUGCGAUCAUACCAGCACUAAUGCACCGGAUCCCAUCAGAACUCCGCAGUUAAGCGUGCUUGGACGAGAGUUUUACUAGGAUGGGUGACCUCCUGGGAAAUCCUCGUGUUGCACCCC